GACGAACGCUGGCGGCGUGCUUAACACAUGCAAGUCGAACGGAAAGGCCCGGCUUUUGUGGGGUGCUCGAGUGGCGAACGGGUGAGUAACACGUGAGUAACCUGCCCUUGACUUUGGGAUAACUUCAGGAAACUGGGGCUAAUACCGGCUAGGAGCUCCUGCUGCAUGGUGGGGGUUGGAAAGUUUCGGCGGUUGGGGAUGGACUCGCGGCUUAUCAGCUUGUUUGUGCGGUAGUGGCUUACCAAGGCUUUGACGGGUAGCCUGCCUGCGAGGGUGACCGGCCACGUUGGGACUGAGAUACGGCCCAGACGCCUACGGGAGGCAGCAGUGGGGAAUAUUGCACAAUGGGCGGAAGCCUGAUGCAGCAACGCCGCGUGCGGGAUGACGGCCUGCGGGUUGUAAACCGCUUUCGCCUGUGACGAAGCGUGAGUGACGGUAAUGGGUAAAGAAGCACCGGCUAACUACGUG
rnacentral:rRNA from 1 species